AUAGCUAACUCAAGUCUCAACAAAGGUUGGAGGUUUGCAGACUUGCAUCUUGAUUUCUUUCUCCAUUCCACUAGGCUUCACAUAUCAGGCUCCCCUAUGGAACUAGAAGAUGGAUGAAAGAAGAAGUGUUUUCAGAGGAGCCUUGACGCCUUGGGAAAAUCCCAGGUCAGAUGGGAAGAAAGGAGCCCCGAGUUGUGGGUGUUUCUUACAGUGGUGAUAUUAAGGAGCUGUCUGGCAGGUCACACAAAGCCUCAUUACAAGUGUGUGCACAGUACUCACACCUACCGCCACCUGGAUGCAGCUAACAUCAAGUGGCAACAACCAGGUGAGGUUGUCAUUGAUUCAUAUUCUCUUUGUUUAAGAACCAAAAAAAAAAAAAAAAAAGGCAGCUUCUACUGACUUCAUUCAAGAACUUCCCAGAGCUGUGAUUUAGAAAUAUUUUGUCAAAGAUAUUAAGUC
rnacentral:lncRNA from 1 species